UGUCCCCUUCUGGAAGGGCCUUGGGGGGGCUAGCAACUGGAGGUUGCUCUGCGGAUUUUAGGCAUGGGACCUGGUUUGAAGGAAAGGAGGGACUAGGUUUGGAGAAGAGCUGGCGCCUCUUAAAACUCUUGGUGCCUAAAAUGAGUGAAAUGGUGGCCAAAUACAGCGGAGGGAGAUUAUCUCGCUUUUCAAUAUCCAGGACUUCUGGAUGCGCCAGCGAUGUGUGCAGCAACUGUCGAUUUGGCAGCAAACUGGACUCGGUCAAUUGCAGUUCCUUUCUCACUUCAAGCUUACCUCCCUCAGAGCGGUGCUCCGACUGUCUUCCCAGCCUCCAGGUGGGAGGGAGCUGAGCGAGAAAGAAUCAAAAGUCAGCUUGCUUUUGCUCUCUGCUGGUGGCAGAUGCGCAGCUGGUUGGUUUUAAGCAGGCCAAAUGUUUGCAGAGAGGAGCAGCUGACUUUGGUAAGACUGUCACGCCCAUGCACCCAAGCCUUCAUAGACACCAUCCAGUUCUGGAAACAAGGCUGCUCAGGCCCACGGAGGUGUGUGGGAUACCAGAGAAGGAUUCGCUACUACAUCAUCUACAGACAUGUAUAUGCCACAGAGCACCAGACAGUCUUCAGGUGCUGCCCUGGUUGGAUCCAAUGGGAUGAUGAACCAGGCUGCUUCUCCUCUCUCUCUUCCUUGGGAACUCAUUUCAGUGGAAGGGAGUGCUUGUAUCAGGACACUCGGCAGUGCCUUUGUUCACAAGGAUUUCAUGGACCCCACUGUCAAUAUGAUAUAAAUGAAUGUGCUGUUGACAAUGGAGGCUGUCAAGACCGAUGCUGUAAUACGAUUGGCAGUUAUUACUGCAGAUGUCAAGCUGGCCAAAAGCUGGAGGAAGAUGGCAGAGGAUGUGAAGAUGUGGAUGAGUGUGCCGUGGUGAACGGAGGCUGCCAGCAGCGCUGUAUUAACACUCUGGGCACCUUCCACUGUGAGUGUGACACAGGAUACAGACGCCAUGCUGACGAACGUACCUGCAUAAAGACAGACCCCUGUGCAGGUGCAAAUGGAUGUGCUCACCUAUGUCAAAGUGAAAAUGGCAUGGCCAGGUGUGCCUGCCACGCUGGGUACCAGCUGUCUGAAGACAAAAAGGCCUGCGAAGAUAUAAAUGAGUGUGCUGAAGAGCUCCCUCCCUGUGCUCAUCACUGUGUGAACUCAAAGGGGUCCUUCACAUGUACCUGCCACCCUGGUUUUGAGCUAGGAGCUGAUGGAAAACAUUGUUACAGAAUUGAAUUAGAAAUUGUCAAUAUCUGUGAGAAGAACAAUGGCGGUUGUUCUCAUCACUGCGAGCCUGCAAUUGGUGGAGUCCACUGUUCCUGUAACCACGGACAUCAACUGGAUACCGAUGGGAAAACAUGCAUAGACUUUGAUGAAUGUGAGAGCGGAGAAGCCUGCUGUGCCCAACUCUGCAUCAACUACUUAGGAGGCUAUGAGUGCAGCUGUGAGGAAGGCUUUCAGAUCAGUUCGGAUGGUUGUGGAUGUGAUGCUUUAGAUGAGCAGUUAGAGGAAGAAGAAGAGGAAAUAGACAUUCUGAGGUUUCCAGGCCGUCUGUCUCAGAACCCACCCCAGCUAUUCCCUUAUCUUGAUCCUUCUCUGACUGCUUCAUAUGAAGAUGAAGACAAUGAUGAUGCUGACUUGGAAGCAGAAGGAGCGGUCCAAGGUCUGACAGCCUUGCACAGAGUUGUCUGUUUAGAUGGCACCUUUGGCCUGGACUGCAGCUUGAGCUGUGAAGAUUGUAUGAAUGGAGGAAGAUGCCAAGAAGGAAAGAGUGGGUGCUUGUGCCCAGCAGAAUGGACUGGCCUUAUAUGCAAUGAAAGCAGUGUCCUAAGAACUGGGGAAGAGCAGCAAGCUCCUGCGGGUAAUUUCUGCUCUGCCAGCCUGUCUUCCGGCUCCAAUUUGCUCGGGCACGCGCUCCUGGUCCAUCUUAUCUAAUGGAGAGCUACUGUUCCUUUGUCUUCUUCCUCCUUACUUUCUCUCCUUUUCUUUUUCCCUCUUGGUCCCUACGUGUGACCCCUAGCCAGGAUGCCUGAAAGGGUUCUUUGGGAAGAACUGCAAAAGAAAAUGUCAUUGUGCUAACAAUGCUCAUUGCCACAGGGUAUAUGGUGCCUGCAUGUGUGACCUAGGGCUCUAUGGAAGAUUCUGCCACCUUAGCUGUCCCAGGGGAGUCUAUGGAGCUAGCUGUUCUUUGGAAUGUCAGUGUGUGGAAGAGAACACCCUGGAAUGCAGUGCCAAAAAUGGUAGUUGCACCUGCAAAUCUGGUUACCAAGGCAACAGAUGCCAGGAAGGUACAAUCUGAUGAUGGAUUUUUGUGUUUCUUGAAUAAAAAUGAUCAACCUUUGUUCAGCACUAUUUGGUCAUUAAUUAGUUAAUCCACACCAGUGGAUGAUGGGGAGGCUUUAUUGAUCUCCUGUUGGAGGUGAGGAAACCGAGACCUGAGUGCAAUACAAUUAUUUAACAUUGUCUUCUUGGCCUCUGCUCUCAGAAUUCCCCUUGCCAGCCUGAGCAGAGGAAGAAGAUGGCACAUCUUAAAAUUAUAUCUGGAAACAAUUACAGCUCAAUAACAUAGACUCAUCAAUCAAGGACAUGCUCUCCUCCAGCAUGAAGGACAUUCCUUUUUUAUCUAAAAGUCAAUCAUCCAAACAAAUUUAUUUAUGGUUUCUUAAUACCAAGAACUUAAGGAUGGAUACCGGUACUGUCACUUUUCAAGUACCUAGAUAUCACGUAAUUUUAGAUAAAUCUCCAAGCAGAAAACUAUGAUCCCAGUAGUAAGAAACACGUAGAGAUACAUGUGCAGCUGUGUGUGGAAUUUGGGGAAAUGGUAUUUCAACCUGUCAGCAAGCCAUCCCUGUCUUGUAAAGCCCAUGAGUACUUGUUUAUGGUUUUGGUGUCUGGUUACCAUGUCACUGACUUCCUUUGAUGCCACUUCUUAAGAAGGCAGUGAGCAGCUUUCCUGGAGUUCCUUUUGUUGACUAUAGCAUGCCUUGCCUUCUAAUCUAGCACAUUUACCCAUUACUGUGUGUCACUAUCGACUGCCUGUUCUCUUGCUUGAAUCCAAGGUCCAUGUAGGCAGUAUAUCUGUUUGUUUAUUCCUGUAUUUCUUCACUCAUGCAAUAAAGACAGUCAUCAGUAAAUCUCUUCUUAAAUC